rnacentral:rRNA from 1 species
UACGUAGGUGGCAAGCGUUGUCCGGAUUUACUGGGCGUAAAGAGCGCGCAGGCGGUUGAUUAAGUCGGAUGUGAAAGCCCCCGGCUCAACUGGGGAGGGUCAUUCGAUACUGAUCGACUUGAAGGCAGGAGAGGGAAGUGGAAUUCCGGGUGUAGUGGUGAAAUGCGUAGAUAUCCGGAGGAACACCAGUGGCGAAGGCGACUUCCUGGCCUGUUCUUGACGCUGAGGCGCGAAAGCUGGGGGAGCAAACGGG